CCUACGGGAGGCAGCAGUGGGGAAUAUUGGACAAUGGGCGAAAGCCUGAUCCAGCCAUGCCGCGUGUGUGAAGAAGGCCUUCGGGUUGUAAAGCACUUUCAGUGGGGAAGAAAGCCUUGGGGCUAAUACCCUCGAGGAAGGACAUCACCCACAGAAGAAGCACCGGCUAACUCCGUGCCAGCAGCCGCGGUAAUACGGAGGGUGCGAGCGUUAAUCGGAAUUACUGGGCGUAAAGCGCGCGUAGGCGGUCUGAUAAGCCGGUUGUGCAAGCCCCGGGCUCAACCUGGGAACGGCAUCCGGAACUGUCAGGCUAGAGUGCAGGAGAGGAAGGUAGAAUUCCCGGUGUAGCGGUGAAAUGCGUAGAGAUCGGGAGGAAUACCAGUGGCGAAGGCGGCCUUCUGGACUGACACUGACGCUGAGGUGCGAAAGCGUGGGUAGCAAACAGGAUUAGAUACCCGAGUAGUC
rnacentral:rRNA from 1 species